rnacentral:rRNA from 1 species
UACGUAGGGUGCGAGCGUUACUCGGAAUUACUGGGCGUAAAGUGUGCGCAGGCGGCCGAGCAAGUCGAGUGUGAAAGCCCCGAGCUUAACUUGGGAACUGCGCUCGAAACUACUUGGCUAGAGUGUGGCAGAGGGAGGUGGAAUUCCACGUGUAGCAGUGAAAUGCGUAGAGAUGUGGAGGAACACCGAUGGCGAAGGCAGCCUCCUGGGCCAGCACUGACGCUCAUGCACGAAAGCGUGGGGAGCAAACAGG